rnacentral:rRNA from 1 species
ACGGCUCAGUAACACGUCGAUAAUCUGCCCUUAGGUCGGGGAUAACCUCAGGAAACCGAGGCUAAACCCCGAUAGGGAAAUUCUACUGGAAGGUGUUUUUCCUUAAGCUCGUGCCUAAGGAUGAGUCGGCGGCCGAUUAGGUUGUUGGCGAGGUAACGGCUCACCAAGCCUAUGAUCGGUAGGGGCCUUGAGAGAGGUAGCCCCGAGAAGGGCACUGAGAUACUGGCCCUAGCCCCACGGGGUGCAGCAGGCGCGAAACCUUUACAAUGCACGAAAGUGUGAUAAGGGAAUCCUAAGUGCGUUACUUUUAGUAACGCUUUUGCCAAGAGCAAAAAUCUUGGCGAAUAAGUGGUGGGUAAUACCUGUGCCAGCCGCCGCGGUAACCCAGGAGCCACAAGUGGCAACCACUUUUAUUGGGCCUAAAGCGUCCGUAGCCGGUCCAGUAAAUUUCCUGUGAAAUCGUUGGGCUCAACCUAACGUCGUGCAGGAAAGACUACUGGACUAGGGACUGGGAGGCGUCAGAGGUAUUCCUGAGGGAGCGGUAAAAUGCUAUAAUCUCAGGAGGACCUCCAGUGGCGAAGGCGUCUGACGAGAACAGAUCCGACGGUGAGGGACGAAAGCUAGGGGAGCAAACCGGAUUAGAUACCCGAGUAGUCCUAGCUGUAAACGCUGCGAGCUAGGUGUUGCACAUUCUUCGGGAAUGUGCAGUGUCGAAGCGAAGGUGUUAAGCUCGCCGCCUGGGAAGUAUGGUCGCAAGGCUGAAACUUAAAGGAAUUGGCGGGGGGAGCAC